rnacentral:rRNA from 1 species
UUCCGGUUGAUCCUGCCGGACCCGACUGCUAUCGGAUUGAGAUUUAGCCAUGCGAGUCGAACGUCCCCCUGUUGCGGGGGGCGUGGCAUACGGCUCAGUAACACGUAGUCAACCUGCCCUGGAGACAUGGACAACCCCGGGAAACUGGGAUUAAUCCGUGAUAGGUCAUCUCAUCUGGAAGGAGAGAUGGCUUAAAGGGGUACGCGGGCUUCUUCCGCGAAUCUGCUCCAGGAUGGGACUGCGUCCGAUCAGGCUGUUGGCGGGGUAAUGGCCCACCAAACCUGUAACCGGUACGGGCCUUGAGAGAGGUGGCCCGGAAAUGGACACUGAGAGAAGGGUCCAGGUCCUACGGGGCGCAGCAGGCGCGAAACCUUCGCAAUGCGCGAAAGCGUGACGAGGUUAAUCCGAGUGGCCCCCGCUGAGGGGGUCUUUUGUCGGCUGUAAAUAGGCCGGCGAAUAAGGGGAGGGCAAGCCUGGUGUCAGCCGCCGCGGUAAUACCAGCUCCUCGAGUGGUCGGGGCGAUUAUUGGGCCUAAAGCAUCCGUAGCCGGUCCCGUAGGUCCUCUGUUAAAUCCAACCGCUUAACGGUUGACCUGCAGAGGAUACCGCGGGACUAGGAGGCGGGAGAGGCGGACGGUACUCCGCGUGUAGGGGUAAAAUCCUUUGAUCCGCGGAAGACCACCAGUGGCGAAGGCGGUCCGCCAGAACGCGCUCGACGGUGAGGGAUGAAAGCUGGGGGAGCGAACCGGAUUAGAUACCCGGGUAGUCCCAG